rnacentral:rRNA from 1 species
AAUGCGGGACUCUAAGAGGCCCCGUAAUUGGAAUGAGUACACCUUAAAUCGUUUAACGAGUAUCAAUUGGAGGGCAAGUCUGGUGCCAGCAGCCGCGGUAAUUCCAGCUCCAAUAGCGUAUAUUAAAGUUGCUGCAGUUAAAAAGCUCGUAGUUGGAUCUGGGGCUUGAGGUCGCUGUCUAUCGUUUCGGCGAUGACGGUGAUGCUCAGCUCUGCUAGCCGGUGACUGUUGCGGUGUUCUUCACUGAGCGCUGUAGCAGCACGGCACGUUACUUUGAAAAGAUUAGAGUGCUCAAAGCGUGCUUGUCGCUUGAAUAAUGUUGCAUGGAAUAAUGGAAUAGGACCUCGGUUCUAUUUUGUUGGUUUUCGGAGCUUGAGGUAAUGAUUAAGAGGGACGAACGGGGGCAUUCGUAUUGCGGUGUUAGAGGUGAAAUUCUUGGAUCGCCGCAAGACGGACUACUGCGAAAGCAUUUGCCAAGAACGCUUUCAUUAAUUAAGAACGAAAGUCAGAGGUUCGAAGACGAUCAGACACCGUCCUAGUUCUGACCAUAAACGAUGCCGACCAGCGAUCCGUAGUGGUUGCUUUAUGGACCCUACGGGCAGCCUCCGGGAAACCAAAGUAUUUGGGUUCCGGGGGAAGUAUGGUUGCAAAGCUGAAACUUAAAGGAAUUGACGGAAGGGCACACCAGGAGUGGAGCCUGCGGCUUAAUUUGACCCAACACGGGAAAACUCACCCGGUCCGGACACCGUAAGGAUUGACAGACUGAUAGCUCUUUCUUGAUUCGGUGGAUGGUGGUGCAUGGCCGUUCUUAGUUGGUGGAGUGAUUUGUCUGGUUAAUUCCGAUAACGAACGAGACUCUAGCCUGCUAAGUAGUGUUGCUAUUGUUAUAUGGUUGACACUUCUUAGAGGGACAAGUGGCAUUUAGCCACGCGAAAUUGAGCAAUAACAGGUCUGUGAUGCCCCUAGAUGUCCGGGGCCGCACGCGCGCUACACUGGAGAAGUCAGCGUGUGUUAUCCAAGUCCGAAAGGACUGGGUAAUCCGUUGAACCUUCUUCGUGCUUGGGACUGUGGCUUGGAACUAUUCCACAUGAACGAGGAAUUCCUAGUAAUUGCAAGUCAUAAGCUUGCGUUGAUUACGUCCCUGCCCUUUGUACACACCGCCCGUCGCUACUACCGAUUGAAUGGUUUAGCAAGGUCCUCGGAUCGUGGCCGUAGGGGCACGCAAGUGUUUCUGCGGUUUGCGAGAAGACGACCAAACUUGAUCAUUUAGA